AUCUUCCAUUUGUUGGGGGCAGAUAAAGUGGAUGUGGCUGUCCAUCCCGCCUGCGGUCAGGAUGCGCCCCUCGCCUGCGAUCACCUCGGUUCCUGGACCAACGAUAAUAUCGACGCCUGAUUGGGUGUCAGGGUUGCCCGCUUUGCCGAUGGCGUGGAUCAGCCCGUCUUUCAGGGCCACAUCGGCCUUAUAAAUGCCCGAAUGAUCCACGAUCAGCGCGUUGGUGAUGACCGUAUCCACCGCCCCGCCCGCGCGGGUGACUUGGGAUUGGCCCAUGCCGUCACGGAU
rnacentral:sRNA from 1 species